rnacentral:lncRNA from 1 species
UGAAUGUGAAUAAAAUUAUGAUUGGCUAUAUAAGAUUUUUUUUCUUUUGAGAGAUAGGUAGCACGCUACCCGCUUCGUUUAUUUCAUUUAGAAAUAAAUUUAGCUAGAAAUAUGAAUCAACUAGGAUUCGAACUUGGGUCUUGGGUACCAACCACCAAGCCCUUUGCCACUUGCUCUAGGGACAGUCGGUGAUUGGCUAUAUAAGAUACUAUGAAUAUUAAUAAUGUCAAGCCUCGGAUUACACGUUCCCCAGGCACGCCGACAAAUCCGCCGUAUACAAAGGAAUUUCCUCUGUAUACGAAGCGACAGCUAUACCUGUAAACUGUACAAUACUACAAACAGUAGUAUAGAGCUGCUAGAGUAAACAGAAGCUAAACAAACGGAGUUCCAUAUACAUAGUCCAAUAACAAAAAAUACAGAGCUACUCGCACUGGCGAGUUAAGUAUACUAUAUACAUGAACUCAAAACAAAACAUCUACCUGCAGUAGGGGCACCUCUAGCUCGGCACGUCUGGUAGGGCUCUAACUCGCGACGCCCUUGCCUCGAUCCUGAUCUGCGACAGCAGCAGCCGACAACGAUGGCUCUGCAAAUACAGGGAGUAACAAUAGGGCGUGAGAACUACUAUAAAAACAGGUAGUCCUCAGUAGGUGCCGCCCUCAACAACAUCGGUCCACCCACUAAGUCUACAGAAGGGAGCAAGAAUAGUAGGAAAAGCAGGAAGUACACUCUACCGCUAUCAAUCACUACACUAUCAUGCUCUACACUAACCAAUUGUAGAAAAUGUGAAAUCUGACCCAAUCCAAUCGGGACUGUAGGCCUACCCGUCCCUAGGACUGUGAACACACCCGUCCCUGCCCAGUUGUGACUAUCCAGCUACCUCUACACUACUAGUCCGUGAAGAGCAAGUCCAACCGGCAUGAGCGACACCAACGUGAAAGCACAGCGCCCGUCUCCGGAGUGGCACUCGUGGGAGCUACCCAACCGAGUAUGCAGCGUAUCUCUGUCGAGCUCAAUUAGGCUCUCAAAAGCCAAAGUCCAGUGACCGACUCAAACUGGUCUAACAACCAACAGGUAGCGUGCCCUCGGCACAAUCCAACGCCAAAAAGGCGAUACAGGUCCACCGUCAACCCCGACGGCACCCAACAGUCCGGAACAGUCUAAACGCUAUUUUAAAAAUUCACUCGGUAUCCCCGCACGAGUGUAACUGAAAUCUAAACUAUUGGAAUUCUCAAUAUGAUGAUACUGCAAUAGUAUAAAAUCAUACAACGGCCCCUAGGGCUAAAUCAGGUAGUUUAACAUAUGCCGAUCGUUAUCGCAUUUUCUCCUAAGUCGAAUCCAAGUCCAACAUGUAUAUUUAUGGUUACAAGUCAUGUUCUCAAUGCUGAUUAGCCGUGAUAUGAUCAACAACCUGAGUUACAACAUAAUUUACCAGAAACCCGAAAAUCAUACAUGUCGACUAAUAUAUACUUAGGAAUAAACCGAUGUAACCCACCUCGAUCGCUAAACCCCGGUAGCGAGGAGGUCACCAAAAAUCCCCAAA